rnacentral:lncRNA from 1 species
UAACAGUGCUGGUAUGUUUGUGGUCUGAUGUCUGAGCUCACCUUGUACAGUAAGGUUUAGUCUGUAGCUAAGCUAAUAGGUUUAUCUAUGAGGCUGGACCUCUGGGCACCACCACCACCUCUAAUCCCCUUAAAGGGCUCUGCUGGAACAAGGCUUACACAGGUUAAGCACAUCAACCAGGGACGCUGCCAGCAUACAGCACAGCACAUAAGCUAUCUGGACUGUAGGACAAGACAGCAGCAGCUCAACACAAUACCAUACAGCCGCAGGGACUGGGAGACUCGUCAGGAUCGAGGGAAAGAUGAACAGAGCAAAGUACAGAGAGAUCCUUGAUGAAAACCUGCUCCAGAGGACCUCAGACUGGGGCGAAGAAAACGACCCUAAGCACACAGCCAAGACAACACAGGAGUGGCUUGGGGACAAGUCUCUGAAUGUCCCCAAAAAAAAUACAAAUAAUUGUUUUUGCUUUUGUCACUAUGGGUUAUUGUGUGCAGAUUGAUGAAGAAAAAAAAUGUAAUCCAUGUUUAGAAUAAGGCUGUAACGUAACAAAAUGUGGAAAAAGUCAAGGGGUCUGAGUACUUUCCGAAUGCACUGUAGACAUUCUAAAUGUAAUUCCCAGCCGGUACAGAUACUGUGCCUAUCUGCAUUUUGUCUCGUGGUAAUGGGGCUACCUUGGAAAACAUGCCAGAUGGUCAUACCUUCCUGUGUGGUGUCCCGUAUACAACAGGAUUUCCCUGGUCCUUGUGCAGAAUACACAGGAUUACUUCUUUCCAAUAUUGUCUGAUACCAUUCAAUUCAAUA